UACGUAGGGUGCGAGCGUUAAUCGGAAUUACUGGGCGUAAAGCGUGCGCAGGCGGUCUUAUAAGUCAGAUGUGAAAUCCCCGAGCUCAACUUGGGAACUGCGUUUGAAACUGUAAGACUAGAGUGUGUCAGAGGGAGGUAGAAUUCCACGUGUAGCAGUGAAAUGCGUAGAGAUGUGGAGGAAUACCAAUGGCGAAGGCAGCCUCCUGGGAUAACACUGACGCUCAUGCACGAAAGCGUGGGGAGCAAACAGG
rnacentral:rRNA from 2 species